UUCCGGUUGAUCCCGCCGGACCUGACUGCUAUCGGAUUGAUACUAAGCCAUGCAAGUCUUUGUAGUAAUACAAGGCAUACGGCUCAGUAACGCGUAGUCAACCUACCCUAUGGAUGGGGAUAAUCUCGGGAAACUGAGCAUAAUACCCAACAGAUCAUCAAUUCUGGAAUGGUUGAUGAUUCAAAUGAUUUUUCGCCAUAGGAUGGGACUGCGGCCUAUCAGCUUGUUGGUGAGGUAAUGGCCCACCAAGGCAAUUACAGGUACGGGCUCUGAGAGGAGAAGCCCGGAGAUGGGUACUGAGACAAGGACCCAGGCCCUAUGGGGCGCAGCAGGCGAGAAAACUUUGCAAUGUGCGAAAGCACGACAAGGUUAAUCCGAGUGAUUUCUGCUAAAGGAAUCUUUUACCAGUUCUAAAAAUACUGGCGAAUAAGGGGUGGGCAAGUUCUGGUGUCAGCCGCCGCGGUAAAACCAGCACCUCAAGUGGUCAGGAGGAUUAUUGGGCCUAAAGCAUCCGUAGCCGGCUCUGUAAGUUUUCGGUUAAAUCUAUAUGCUCAACGUAUAGGCUGCCGAAAAUACUGCAUAGCUAGGGAAUGGGAGAGGUAGACGGUACUCGGUAGGAAGGGGUAAAAUCCUUUGAUCUAUCGAUGACCACCUGUGGCGAAGGCGGUCUACCAGAACAUGUUCGACGGUGAGGGAUGAAAGCUGGGGGAGCAAACCGGAUUAGAUACCCGGGUAGUCCCAGCUGUAAACGAUGCAGACUCGAUAAUGCAUUGGCACAUAGCCAGUGCAGUGUCGCAGGGAAGCCGUUAAGUCUGCCGCCUGGGAAGUACGUACGCAAGUAUGAAACUUAAAGGAAUUGGCGGGGGAGCACCACAAGGGGUGAAGCCUGCGGUUCAAUUGGAGUCAACGCCGGA
rnacentral:rRNA from 1 species